AGCGAAAUAGUCGACUUGGUCUAAGGUGCGAGACUACGGCUCUUCGGGGGUGUGGGUUCAAAUCCCACUCGUCA
rnacentral:tRNA from 1 species